CCUACGGGUGGCAGCAGUCGAGAAUCAUUCUCAAUGGGGGAAACCCUGAUGGUGCGACGCCGCGUGGGGGAAUGAAGGUCUUCGGAUUGUAAACCCCUGUCAUGUGGGAGCAAAUUAAAAAGAUAGUACCACAAGAGGAAGAGACGGCUAACUCUGUGCCAGCAGCCGCGGUAAUACAGAGGUCUCAAGCGUUGUUCGGAAUGACUGGGCGUAAAGCGUGCGUAGGCUGUUUCGUAAGUCGUGUGUGAAAGGCGCGGGCUCAACCCGCGGACGGCACAUGAUACUGGGAGACUAGAGUACGGGAGAGGGAGGCGGAAUUCGCGGUGUAGCAGUGAAAUGCGUAGAUAUCGAGAAGAACACUCAUGGCGAAGGCGGGUUCCUGGACAUUAACUGACGCUGAGGCACGAAGGCGAGGGGAGCGAAAAGGAUUAGAUACCCGGGUAGUC
rnacentral:rRNA from 1 species